AUUGAACGCUGGCGGCAGGCUUAACACAUGCAAGUCGAGCGAGCGGCGGACGGGUGAGUAAUGUCUGGGAAAGUGCCUGAGGGAGGGGGAUAACUACUGGAAACGGUAGCUACUACCGCAUACCAUCAGAUGUGCCCAGAUGGGAGUAGCUAGGAGGUGGGGUAAUGGCUCACCUAGGCGACGAUCCCUAGCUGGUCUGAGAGGAUGACCAGCCACACUGGAACUGAGACACGGUCCAGACUCCUACGGGAGGCAGCAGUGGGGAAUAUUGGACAAUGGGCGAAAGCCUGAUACAGCCAUGCCGCGUGUGUGAAGAAGGCCUUCGGGUUGUAAAGCACUUUCAGCGAGGAGGCGUUACUCGCAGAAGAAGCACCGGCUAACUCCGUGCCAGCAGCCGCGGUAAUAC
rnacentral:rRNA from 1 species